rnacentral:lncRNA from 1 species
AUUGAAUAAAAAUAAUAAAUUAGUUAUAUGAUUUAGGGUCUUGAAUUAUACGCACUUUAUUAUUUUGCUUUUUAAGUUUGUUUAAAAAUAUGUUGUUCCAUGUUAUACUUUAUUUUACAGUGGUACAGAAAAAAAGAAAGAAAAGCCACAAGGACAGAGAGAAAAAAAAGAGGAUUCUCAUUCUAAUGAUCAGAGCCCACAAAUUCGAGCGUCACCUUCUCCCCAGCCCUCUUCACAGCCUCUCCAAAUAAACAGACAAACUCCAGAGAGCAAGAGUUCUGCUCCCAUCAAAAGGUUUUAACUGUCCCCAAGUACAGGGCUAGGGAAUGGUUGUAAAGAUACCUAGAUUCUGUGAUUUGGCAAGAAUUGGCUAUCCAUGGAUUCCAAGAGAAAACUUCUUCAUUUCUAUAAUCUGUGUUUUAGAACAUCUGGGAAUAAAGGUUUAAAACCAUAACUUUUCAGUUACAAUUGGCAAAGAAACUAAAUCACAAACAACUUGGUAAAAGAAAACUAAGUAUAAACAACCUAAACAAUAUUUUUAUAAUGAAAUUUUAGAAUUUUUAAAGUUUUUAUGGAGUUGUGUAUAAAUGUAUAGCCAUGGAUAGAAAUUGCCAUAUUAAUUAUUCUCACCACCUUUUGGCAUCAUUACAACCUCAACACGCAAGGCCCCUUUAAACAUAUGGCUCUUGUGGCUGCAUCUCAGUUCAGCUUUGGGUUUGGGGAGGAGAAGUUUUCGCUUGAGUGUGGAAAUGAAAUCAUUUCACCUGCUCUUUUCUAUGCUACAGGCUUGUUUGAGAGCUUUUUCUCUGUUUCCACUAUAAUCUGUUUGAAAGUGCGAGGAGAGAAGGGAAGAACAUUGUAACAAAUAUGUAGGAUCCUAAAUUGAGGUAUAAACAUGCCUGCUGGGGCUCACUGCCACAGCUACCUUGUAUCAAUUCUGAUGAUACCAGUUUAAUUAAGUUGGCCUAUUUAGAAACACAGACUCAAGCUUUCACAUUCCUUGGGUAUUUUAUUAUCAUAGUUCUGCCGAGGAAUUAAUUUGGAGAAACUAUUAAACCAUCUCCAGAACCAUCUUUAGAAUUUCAGUAAAGUAAAUGACAGUCACUCCUAAAGACUUGCCAUAUAUUCCUCUUUUGCUAUUUUAAUGUUUUGAUUCAAGUCUGUGAUGGAGAUUUGAAAACCAAAGUGUCGUUCACUUAACUAAUGCAUGUUUACCAUUUACAGAAUGCUUUACCUCUGCGCCUCAUGCAAAUUCUUUUUCUGUCUAAGGGUUUGUGGCUCUUCUGCCUGGUCUCCUGUGGAGUUUCUUGAGUGUGGCUUAUUAAUGUUAUUCACCUUUUAUUGUGUGCGGGGAAGGUUCAUGAUUGACUUGGUGUCUGCUUUGUCCCAGAGUCUCCUUUCCAGCUUAAGGUCUCCUGGAAAUGUGCUUGUCCUUCUAGAUUGCUCUCUGGAUGCACUGCUGCAGGACUAUCAGAGACUGGGUGGGUUUCAUGGUGGCUGGCGUUAGCAAAUGCAGUCAGAAGGUCAUUUAUAAACCUUUAUACAUUUAUAAAUUUCAGUUAUAAAUCCAGGGAUUCCUCAUUGAUAGUGGCAGUAACUUUAUUGUUUAUUUCUAGUCCUGGAUAAAAAGUCUUUAAAACUAUAAGCAAGAGUUUUAGUUUUAGCAUCACAGUAUUUAGAAAUUUGUGCCAUGUAUAAAUUAACUACAUGAACAUAAUUACAGAUGAGUGAAACGUGCAGUCUCAUAUUUCAGUGGUUUAUAAAUCAUUUUUAUAGCUACAAACUAUGAGAAUUAUUACAUACAGAUUUACACAUUUUCCUUUCUUAACAGCAGAUUGUAGAGAUUUCUUUUUUUCAGAUACUGUUUUUGCUAGUAGAUCUCUUGAAUGACAGCAUAAUGCAGACUUCCUGACUGCCUUGCUGACCCCUCCACUCAUCCAGCCAGCUCCUCUCAACUAAUCCUUCUCACCCCUGGAUUUGCUUUAAGAGAAUGUUAACAACGUCCGUCAUUUUCUAUUGAAACUGUCGAUUACAUGUCAUUGCUUCUCAGAAUGUUUCUCUAAGAAAUUAAUAUGUUUCUUCUAGCAUAAAACGUCCACCAACAGCUGAAAAGUCACAUAACUCAUGGGAAAAUUCAGAUGAUAGUCGUAAUAAAUUAAUGAAAACGGUUUCAACAUCAAAACUAAUAUCAAAGGUUAUAAAAAAUGCAGACAAGUAAGUUGCUAUACUUUAUCAUGUAUGAAAAUCAAUAAUUGUGUUUCUACACUGUUGUGUGUAACAACAUGCCUGUUGUAGGUAAUGAUGUGCCUGGUUUGUUUUUUGUUGUUGUUGUUGUUGGUUUUUUUUUUUUUUAGUUUAUUCAUAUUACUUUAUUUUUAUAUGAGUAGCAGUCUUCAGAUGCACCAGAAUAAGGCAUCAGAUCCCAUUACAGAUGGGGGGCGCUGGGAAUUGAACUCAGGACCUCUGGAAGAGCAGUGAGCCCUCUCAACUGCUAAGCUCUCUCACCAACCCCCUGAUUUGAAUUUUUAAUCUAUUUCAGUUGAUUUUUUUUCUUGUCAGUGUAUUUUUUUAAGUCUUCUAUUAAUUUUUCUUCAGUAUCUCAGUUUUGUAAGAUAUAAGUAUUAUACUUUUUUUUUGUAUGUGCUUUCAGUGUUUUGAUGAUCUUGUGUGAUAUUUACUGUUUUAUAAAAUAGUAUAUAUUAGUAGUUGAAACUACUGAGAAACUGAAAAAAAUACUACUUCCUGAAUUUUACUUGUAGACAUUUAUCUAAGUUAUGGGCUAGGCAUCAAAAUUUUUAAAUUCUUUCAGGUGACUUUAAUGAUGAACCAUAUAUAAUAAAUGUUCUUUGUAUUCUCUUUUAGACAUAAAGAUGUCAUCGUCAAUCAAGGUAAAUUAAAAUUUCUUUUUAAAAAUACUUGCCUUUUUAAAAAAAACAUUUUAACUAUUGUUGACUCAUAAGAAUAUGCCUUAAUUUUAUUCAGUAUAAUUUAUUCAUUGUAAUCGGAGACGUAUUGCUGUAGUCAUUUAAGAAAAUGCUCGGUUUUUAUUGUAAGAUAUGUCAUUUUUGUCUCAACCAGCAAAAAUGUCAACCCGGGAAAAAAACAGCCAAGGUAAGGAUAAGCUCCGCAGGUUGCCCUGAGCUGGCCUUGUCUCCAUCUCUUAUUUGGCUUUUUGGCAUUUCAACUCUGACUUUCCUCUUAACAAAGGAAAUACUGUGGUAAUUUGAACUAGUAAAUUAACUGCUUUU